UAACGCGAAGAACCUUACCAAGGCUUGACAUCGCCCGGAAAGCAUCAGAGAUGGUGCCCCCCUUGUGGCCGGGUGACAGGUGGUGCAUGGCUGUCGUCAGCUCGUGUCGUGAGAUGUUGGGUUAAGUCCCGCAACGAGCGCAACCCUUGUCCUGUGUUGCCAGCAUGCCCUUCGGGGUGAUGGGGACUCACAGGAGACCGCCGGGGUCAACUCGGAGGAAGGUGGGGACGACGUCAAGUCAUCAUGCCCCUUAUGUCUUGGGCUGCACACGUGCUACAAUGGCAGGUACAAUGAGCUGCGAUACCGUGAGGUGGAGCGAAUCUCAAAAAGCCUGUCUCAGUUCGGAUUGGGGUCUGCAACUCGACCCCAUGAAGUCGGAGUUGCUAGUAAUCGCAGAUCAGCAUUGCUGCGGUGAAUACGUUCCCGGGUCUUGUACACACCGA
rnacentral:rRNA from 1 species